rnacentral:rRNA from 1 species
UACAGAGGUCUCAAGCGUUGUUCGGAUUCAUUGGGCGUAAAGGGUGCGUAGGCGGCGCGGUAAGUCGGGGUGUGAAAUCUCGGAGCUUAACUCCGAAACUGCAUUCGAUACUGCCGUGCUUGAGGACUGGAGAGGAGACUGGAAUUUACGGUGUAGCGGUGAAAUGCGUAGAUAUUGUAAGGAAGACCAGUGGCGAAGGCGGGUCUCGUGGACAGUUCCUGACGCUGAGGCACCGGAAGGCCCAGGGGAGCAAACGGG